CCACAUAUUGGAAGAUAAGGGUAGCUAUUUGACUUGUUCAAACUAAAGGUUGUGAGAUAGUUAUCAGCAUACAUAUAGGAGUUAGUUUUCUUGAUGGGAUGAAACUAACUUGUACAACGUGCAUACAAGGGGUCCCUGGUCUUGCCAGAUAGUGCCUGCCAUUCCCAUCUAUAGACACUAAAAGGAAGAAGGCAUAGACCAGAAGAAUUCCUUGUUCCCUACAAUCUCCAUUCUCAAAGUCUUCAUCUCCCUAAACCUUCAGACAAACGACAUCAAAUCUGAUCACAUGACUGGAGGUAAUUCUAUUU
rnacentral:lncRNA from 1 species